AGGAUUUUAGUUAAUAAUAACAUUUGAUUUGCAUUCAAAAAGUAUUGAAUUUAUCAAUUUAUCUUAAGUUA
rnacentral:tRNA from 1 species